CCUCUGCUUCUCUCGAGGCAUCGACGGCUGUCCACCCUCCCAGCCGAGAGGCAGGACCUCGGCCGGGCGCACCAGCAGAGAGCCUGACCAGGGGCUCCAGGACUGCCCCAGAGCAGGGGCCAGCCCGCGGUCAGCAGAGCAGCCUGGACACGGCCGGAGCAGACCUUGUGGGCACAGGCAGAGCCGCAAGGUGGAGUCUCCCUUCUCUGAAUGCUUUUCCCGCUCCAGGGAUUAAGCCUGAUUGUGGUUUAAUCAGAAUCCUCGCUUGUCCACACCCUCUUAUCCACGAUUCACAGACGGCCUUUGUUGUAUCUUUUUAUCUCUGCUUUUCAUCGUGUUCACUCAUUCAGUUAAAAAAAUAAUGCACUGGGUGGCCGCGAAGCACCACCCAACCCGAGCCCCGGGACGGGACGCGCCCUCUCCCUGGCUGCACCCCCCCCGUCCCCCCCCCCAGGGUGAGCCACCAUCUCCCAUUUGCUUUUCCCGCCGCACCUGUGUUUGCCUGAACACCGCCUGGUUUCUGGGGGUGUGAGCUUUGUCUCCUGGGCCCGGCUCAGCGCCGCAGGGUCCGUCUGUUGUCACAGCUGCCGCGGCGCUGGGUUUCGCCACCUCUGUGCGCUGCGUGCUGUUCCGCCGGCCCGUGUGCCUGCCCUCUGCCUCCCGCCGUGCGCAUCCAUGGGGCCAGUGCGCUCAGCCUCAGCUGGACCGGAGGGAAUAGGGUGGGGGGGUCCAGCCAGAGAAGAUGCUGCCCAUUGGUUUCCAGGGCGGGUGUUCACUCCCACCCCACCUGUCACGGGGCUCCCGGGCGCCCAUCUCGGCCCCAUCGGGCGCGUUGCUUCCCUGCUGAUGGAGAGGCCGUUCCCUCCUGGGUUGUGGGGCCUGUGGGUGGUGUUCGUCGUGAGCCAUGUGGGCCCCCGGGCUGGGGGCAUUGAGUGGAUGCCUGCAUUCUUGCCUACAGAGGGUUGCGGAGUGGCGCCUUAGGCCCAGACCCCUCGGAGCCGGUCCCUGUGUGUGUCCUGCCCCUAAGACUCGCCGACUCCCCAGCCCAGGCCUCCCUGGCGCUGGCCCACUGCAGGGGCAGCUGGUGGAAGAUGCCGCCUGUUAGGGAGAGAGUUGGAGCUGGCGGCUGGGGGCUGGGGGUGGGUGCAACUGCCCCCACCCCUGUCCUCGGGUCCUGGGGGUCCAUCUGCAGGACCCACCUCUUUCUCCCUGCGAUGUGGACUCGGCCAGGGGCGGGGCCGGGCCUGGGGCCAAGUUCAGAGCGGGCUGACCAGGGGCUGAUGACCACCUGGCCCCCCGAGGGCUUCUAGACGCCGGCAGAUGGGGAUGAGGUGUCAGGCGCACAGGGGCCGUACGCGGGGAGUGGCAGGGAUGCCCCCCGCCCCCCGAGCCUGGGACAAGGGUCUUCUUGUGCUGUGGCUUGCCAUCCUCGUCUGAGCAGUGGGAGUGAAGGCCGAUGGCAGUGCCUGGCUCACAGGGCAGCGUGACAAUCAAACCAGGACCGGAGCGCAUUCGGCACGGGUCCCGCCUACCCCCCCCCCACAAGUGCUCAUGGUACUGGCUCGGGUCAGCACUGUUGCUUGUCACCCCGGUCACUCCUGGAGCCACCUCCUCCAGGCAGCCAGAGAUCCCUGAAGCUUUACUCCUGACCCACCUCCUUCACCCCAGCUGUGCCCCCCUGCCCCAGCUCUGGGUUAAAAACCUGCACAACCAUGACCCUGGGGGACCCUCCCCGCCCCCAGUGGGCACACACGAGGCCCUGCCCUGCCCCCUGCCCUGAGGCCGCCUGGGGCACAAGCCCCACGUCUGCCAGCUGCUCCCUAUCAGGCUGCGGCCGUGCCCGGCAGGGGGGAGCUCAGCUCACAGCUGGAGACCCGCCAGAAGCGCCAUCCUGCAGUCAGCCCCUCCCGGGGAGGCCACCGCCGCUGCUGCUUGGAAAUGUGACAGUGACUAAUGGUUUAUUACACACCUGCCACCUCUCCUCGGGCGGGCGGCACAGCCCCCGGGUCCAGCUGUGCACUGCCAGCUGGACAGCGGGGCGGGCACAGGGGGCGAGCACUUACAGACACAUGGGCACACACGGGCCCAGGGACACUCAGGGACAAACGCAGACCUGGCACAUGCGCCACACAGAAGGGGACACGUGCAGAUACAGGGACGUGCAGAGACACACAUUCAGAUAUGCACACGCAGGUACCUGUGUGGCCUAACGUGCACACAGAACCACAUUGCAGACACGCAUACCUGUAUGCACACGUGCCCCCAAACACAAACACACACACACAUGCACGCACGUGCACGUACACACACACCAUCCCAUAUGCACACCCAUGCACGCAGCCCUGCAACUCCCUCUCUCCAGAGCUCUGAGCCUCCUCGUCUCCCCUCUGUCUCUCCCGCUCCCUAUGGGGUGGCAUCCACCCCAGUGCCAUCUGGGGAAGGGGUCUUUCCCAGAAGGGCCAGUGGCCUGGGCGGGUCAGGGGCUGCCUCUAUUGCCUUGGGGGGCAGCUGGCCAUUGCGGUCUGUUUCUGACCCCUGUGCCCUGCAGACAUCUGGGGUGUGGGGGCAGCAGCCUUCAGCCAGGGAAGGAAGCUCUCACACCGACCACCCUUGUGUCGGGCUGGAGGCUGGCCAAGUGGCCCCAGGGAUAUGCACGGCCAGCCCACCUGGGGAACCAUCCCCUCGAGGUGGCCUCCCCCUGUAGGAGAGGAGCCCUAGGCCCCGCUCUUUCCAAUAUUCUCAAGCCGUUAGUCAAAGGAAGGUCCAUUUCUCAUGUGCCACUCGCAGGCGAUGUCAACUCCAGCAAGAGGACGCUUCUAAUUCAUCACCAGCUGACGGGCACAGGCAUUCCUGAACAAUGACCUCUCUGCGGUCGCAGCCUCCUUGGCAGGGAAGCAGCACCGUCUGGUGAUAAGUGAGGGUGUGGCUUUGGGAUCCCAGACCCAAGUCCAAGUUUCCAUAUCUCAGCGCUGCCACUUCCCGCCACGGAGCCUCGGCAAGUUUCAAAAUCUCCCCAGAGCUUAGCUGCUCCAUCGGCUGAGUGGGCGCGGGGACAAUGAAGUCUUCCUUGUAGCACGGCAUCAGUGACAUGGGAGGAACCCCCAGGGGGCCGCAGGGCCACAGGGCAAAGUUGCACAGGUUUCACACUGCACAACUCCAGGGGGCGCCAUUCUUGUCACCUCUGUGGACAUGCUCCCUGAGUGGCCGUGUUGCUCAGCGGAGCACUGGCCCCCCUGUAGUUCUCCCGCAUGGCCCUGGAUGGCCUUUCUGAGCUGUGGGAUGGCUGCUAAAGUGGUUAAUGAUAUCUUUAUUUGCAGAGAGUGGAAACCCCAGACUCCACUGAGGGGUUUGGGAUGGGGUCCCAGAAGGCCAGCCAGAGGGUGACUCUCCAGUCCCGUCCAUGCUCCUGGGGCUCCUCCCUUUCCCUUCUGCCAUGUGGGGGGGCUGGGAUUGGCCAGCCCUGUUGGGGUGCUCUGUGGGUUCCUUCCAGAGGCUGCUCUGCUCCCACCGGGAAGCCUCCUUUCUUGCUGGUACUUAUUCCAGGCUUUUGGGGACCACUGGUCCAGCGGGGAGGGGAGGGGAGGACAGGACUAGCUGGGCGGGGUGGGGACCAAGACUCAGCGCAUCUCCCAUUUCCCUGCCGGGGGGACCCCGCCUUCCCCUGCUCUCGUCGCCACCACGGCAGCAGCUACCGUGGACAAGUCCAGUUCCUGGAAGAGUCCAGUUCUUGGAAGUUCCUCCUGCUGCUGUAAAGCCUAAGUCCGGCAGCCUUUCGUAUCUUAUGGUUCUGGAGGCCAGAAAUCCAACACGGGUCUCCCAGGCUCACAUCAAGGUGUGGGCAGAGCUGGUGCCCCCUGGAGGCUCCAGGCGAGAAUCUGUUUCCUGGCCUUUUCCAGCUGCCGGCGGCGGUGCCCGCAUCCCUCGGGGCGUGGCCCCUCCUCCACCUGCCAAGCAGCGGCGCUGCAUCCCUCUGCCCUGCUUCUGUGGCCACAGCGCCCUCCCGAUGCUCCCUGCCCGCUUCUGCACCAGGACCUGUGAUUGCGGGGGCCACCUGCACAGUGCAGGAUCCGAGCUCGUCUCAAGGUCAGCCGACCAGCAGACGCCGCUCCCCCGUGCCGUGUCAGGGAGCAUCCUCACAGGUUCCCGGGGUCUGGACAUGGACGUCUUUAAGGGCCAUUAUCCCGCUGACCACGCCGUCCCUUAUGAAUUAGUUGUGUUAGGACAAGCACCGCCGGCUGCUGUAGCAGGUACUCCUGAGCCCACUGUGCUUCCUGGUUGGGUGACAUGGGGUCCCAGCUUCCCUUUAGCUCAUGGCUCAGCCAGGUCAUAGCUCCCAGCGUUUCCUGAUUCCAUCACCAGCAGAGACGGGGAGGAAAACACGAGAAAGCCACUGGACACACACCCACCUUGGCCGUGAGGCCUUGAGGUGACCCAUAUUCUUCCAUUGGCCUGAAGAGGCCCGCUGGCGAUGGAAAGGAGCUGGGCAGUGACAACUGUCCACUACAGGGGGGCCCGGGCAUGGUGGAGGGUUUGCCGUCGCUGGCCCGGCCGGCCAGCCCACCGAACGGAUCACCCACUGGUCCGUGAGCCUCAAGAACUGGGUCUGAGUCUGUCCUGCUGCACCUGCACGCCCUCCCCGGGUCCCUCUGUGCUCCUUCUGGGAGAAACGCUGGGAGUUCUCAUCCUCCGGCAGGUGUGGGAGUGUGAGGACCAGGCCUAGCUGCCAGCAAAAGGCCAGCUUACCCUCUGGGGCUCUGCGGGCCAGGCUGAGGCUUUGCCUGGGGUGGCCUCUGUGUGCCCUCUCUGCUUCCUCAUCCUGGCCCAUGCCCAGGCCCUGGGGCUGCUUCGCCUUACCAAUCACUCAGUGCACAUCGUUGUCUGCUGCUGCGAAGCCACUGGGGACAGUGCAUCCCCUAGAGCUGAUGGCUCAGCUCAGCUGCCUGUGCCCUCUGCCCCCUGCGUCACCAGCCUCUGCCUGGGCUCCGUGGCUCCGCAGAUGUGGGGGGACUUUGCUGCAGAUGCUGUAGCUCAGCCAGCGCUCCCAGGAAGGGGCCCCCAGAGUCAAGCUGCCAGCACAGGGGAUCAGGCAGCUUCUCAGAAGCUGAGCCCCUCAGACCUGUGCUGAGUUUUUGGAGCUGGGGGGCGGGGGGUUACCCCUGGAAGAUGCAACCCAAGAGCCGUGAGGACACAGCAGUAGGAGUUUCCUGGACCUUGAACCAUGUUAGCUGCUGAUGUGCGGUGUCCGUUCUGGGGCUGCUCUGGCUUCUUCCUCCUCUUGUCCUUUGUAGCUCUGUGUUUAAAUCAAAUCAGUGUUUGUUGGGUGUGGAGUCUAAGUCUUUGGCUCCGGACGGGCACUCCCUCAAUUCAAAUCUCGGAUCUGCUCUGUCUGCGCUUUUGGUGUUAAGCAGACACCCUCUCUGGGCCUCGGUGUCCCCUGCAAUCGCCAGGUGGGUCCGAGAGGCUAUUCCCGUCCCUUGCUGAGCGCCGUGCCAGGCACCUGGGGAUGCGGGAGCUGGCCCUGGCCCUGCCGUGGCUUUUGUCUCUCCUUUGUUGUGUGCAAACGGACUCCCGGCCAGCGGGGUUGGGUCUCCAUGGCCAGGAAGGCAGGGCCUCCACUUGGGUACUUGGCUCGGGCCUAAGUCGACCUUGGCACGCCUGGUCUGGAGCGGCGGCUGGUGCCGCGCGCGUUGGCGGCAGGCGCUGGGAGGACGCCUGUGCCCGCGGCCAAGCGGCAGCUGCUCAGAGGGCACGGGGGCCGGGUUUGGCUGCAGCUCCCCCAGCCCGCUUCCCAGCUGGAUGAAGAGGCUCUUUGGGCGGUUGACGGGGCCCCCCUGCGCCCAUCAGCCCUCCCUUCCCUUGUACGUCUCCAGCCAAGCUGGGACCCCAAGUCUGUUUUCUCUCCAACCUGUGAGUGUUUAUCUUCUCGGCAACUUCUUGGAACAGAGGGGAGCGCAGAGCUUGCAAGUCGGGGCAGGAGGCUGAGAAGCUCAGCGAGCCCAGGAGGCUCUUGGCUGGGCAGCUCCUCUUCCCCCGGGAGCCUCUGAGCGUGGAGCGGGGACGCGCCGUGCUGGGCCUGAAACCCCUUCCCACCCUGCUCCUCCGCUGCCAGGGUUGGUGGCUUUCAGCUGGCCCCUGGGCUGGUGUGUGACUCUUUGGUUCCUCUGACUGAUUCAGAUUUCCAUGACCUGAAAAAGAAAAGAGAACUCGGGUGGUUCAGUACAAUGAACUGAGCGCUGACUCACGUGACGUGCAAAAUGGCACGAAGGGGAGUUCCCAUUGUGGCUCAGUGGCUAAUGAACCCAAUUAGGACCCAUGAGGUUGCAGGUUCGAUCCCUGGGCUCACUCAGUGGGUUAAGGACCUGGUGUUGCCUUGAGCUGUAGUGUAGGUCACAGAUGCAGCCUGGAUCCUGCAUUGCUGUGGCUGUGGUGUAGGCCAGUGUCUAUAGCUCUGAUUAGACCCCUAGCCUGGGAAUCUCCAUAUGCCAUAGGAGCGGCCCUAGAAAAGACAAAAAGACAAAAAAAAAAAAAAAAAAAAAAAAAAAA
rnacentral:lncRNA from 1 species